rnacentral:rRNA from 1 species
GUACGCUAUUCAGAGUUUGAUCCUGGCUCAGGACGAACGCUGGCGGCGUGCUUAACACAUGCAAGUCGAGCGGGGAUUAAGGUUGGAAAGCUUCGGCCGGAAGAUUUAAUUCUAGCGGCGGACGGGUGAGUAACGCGUGAGCAAUCUGUCCCACACAGGGGGAUAACAACUGGAAACAGUUGCUAAUACCGCAUAAGACCACGAGGUCGCAUGGCCUUGAGGUAAAAGAUUUAUCGGUGUGGGGUGAGCUCGCGUCUGAUUAGCUAGUUGGUGAGGUAACGGCCCACCAAGGCGACGAUCAGUAGCCGACCUGAGAGGGUGAUCGGCCACAUUGGAACUGAGACACGGUCCAG